rnacentral:tRNA from 1 species
GGCGGCGUACAACCAAGAGGUCAAGGUGGUGUUCACGGCCAUGUGGACACGCGGUUCUUUUACCGAUGCGCAGGUUCGAAUCCUGUCGCCGCUU